UAUGCUAAGUUAACCCAUGAAGUGUCCUAUAAAUUUCCAAGGAACUUUCUUCUCAAUUUCAUUUUAAACUUCGUAUAUAUCCUUUUCUUUCUUUCUUUCUUUUCAGGAAUUCUCAAAGGUUCUUUGACGAGAGAGGAAGCCAUACCAUAGAAUGGGACCCGGAGGUCCAGGCCCAGGAGGCCCUCCCGGUUGGGGUCCACCUGGCCCACCAGGCCCGGGAUUUUUCGGUGGGUUUUGCGAUAUAAUUAGUUCUUGCGUGAGCUUUUUGUGCUGCUGCUGGUUACUACAAGAUUGCUUUGGGGGUCCACCUGGGGGCCCAUUCGGCGGCCCACCUGGCCCUCCCGGUCCACCUGGGCCUCCAUGAGUUCCCUAGUUACCAUUGUUUCCGAUGUUAUUAUCUUCUAUAAAUACUACUUACCUUUAUUGCAUUCAGUCUGCUUUGUGAGUCUGUGACUUCCAAAGAGGAAAAAAAAAAGUUUUGCGUUAUGUUGUGUAAUAAUCGAGCUAUGCUCUAUGAAUGCAUUUCUGUUUGAUGUAUUGAUACAUUCGUAGAAGGUUGAAGA